AAAAGAUAAUUCAAACACAGGUAUGAUUUGUUUUUUUACAAAAUAUCAGGAACACUAAAGCAAGUAUCUAAGUUGUUUUUCUGAAACUUCUCUGCAAAAACUACAGAACCAUACAUAGGGAAGAAAUUUUAGAUGACUGACCCUAGUUAAAAAGACUAAAUGUUACAGCCACGAAAUUGCACUUUAUUCAUACCUUGUACUACACGCCGAGAACUUCUUUGUACCAUUUCUUUGUAAAAGUUGCAAUGAAGUUGAGUUGGCCAUCCUUUUGCUCAUUCAGGAGAGUAAGGUGCCCGUGCUGCAGUAUGGAACAAUAACAUGCAAAUGCCGAUUAACUGUAUUGUGAUAUUUCCUACUACAUGUCUUAGUCUUCUUACCUAUAUCGCCUCCGCCCAUCACUCAACUCAUGGCUCCAACUCACAGAUCUCCACCGUAGAACAUAUUUUCUCAUCACAUCCAGAACAUCCCUAGCCCAUUUCUACCAAAUACAACUACCAAAUACAAUAACCAUUGAUAGGCC
rnacentral:lncRNA from 1 species